CCUACGGGAGGCAGCAGUGGGGAAUAUUGCGCAAUGGGCGCAAGCCUGAUGCAGCAACGCCGCGUGAGGGAUGACGGCCUUCGGGUUGUAAACCUCUUUUAGUAGGGAAGAAGCGAAAGUGACGGUACCUGCAGAAAAAGCACCGGCUAACUACGUGCCAGCAGCCGCGGUAAUACGUAGGGUGCAAGCGUUGUCCGGAAUUAUUGGGCGUAAAGAGCUCGUAGGCGGUUUGUCGCGUCUGCUGUGAAAUCCCGAGGCUCAACCUCGGGCCUGCAGUGGGUACGGGCAAACUAGAGUGUGGUAGGGGAGAUUGGAACUCCUGGUGUAGCGGUGGAAUGCGCAGAUAUCAGGAAGAACACCGAUGGCGAAGGCAGAUCUCUGGGCCAUUACUGACGCUGAGGAGCGAAAGCGUGGGGAGCGAACAGGAUUAGAUACCCUGGUAGUCCACGCCGUAAACGUUGGGAACUAGAUGUAGGGUCCAUUCCACGGAUUCUGUGUCGCAGCUAACGCAUUAAGUUCCCCGCCUGGGGAGUACGGCCGCAAGGCUAAAACUCAAAGGAAUUGACGG
rnacentral:rRNA from 1 species